GAGUUUGAUCCUGGCUCAGAACGAACGACUGAUGGCGUGCCCUCAUACAUGCAAGUUCGAGCGCCCCGCAAGGGGGAGCGGCGAGACGGGUGAGUGAACACGUGAUACGAUCUGCCUCAGAAGUGGGGGAUAACCAUUCCAACGGAUGAGCUAAUACCGCAUCAGGGUUCGGAGGGGGCAUCCCUUCCUUACGUAAGCUUCACGCGACUUUGAGAUGAGUUCGUCGUCCCAUUAGCUAGUUGGCGGGGUAACGGCCCACACAAGGCAACGAUGGGUAGCCGGCCAUGAGAGGGUGUCCGGCCACAUUGGAGACUGAGAUACGGCCCAGACUCCUACGGGAGGCAGCAGUAGGGAAUUUUGCGCAAUGGGGGAAACCCUGAAGCAGCAACGCCAUGUGUGGGAUGAAGCAUUUCGGUGCUGUAAUACCUACUGUCGGCAGGGGAAUAAAGUCCGAGCUUGCGCGGCAGGUGAAUGUACCUGCAGAGGAAGCCCCGGCUAACUUCGUGC
rnacentral:rRNA from 1 species